rnacentral:rRNA from 1 species
UACGACUACAUAUCAGGCAUAUCAAUAAGCGGAGGAAAAGAAACUAACAUAGGAUUCCCUUAGUAACGGCGAGUGAAGCGGGAAGAGCUCAAAUUUGAAAUCUUCAAGGUUCUACCUUGACGAAUUGUAGUUUAAAGAAGUGUUUUCUGUUGGUAGUUUUGGUAAAAGUUCUUUGGAAUAGGACAUCAUAGAGGGUGAGAAUCCCGUAUUUGACCAUUUACUUCCAGCUGUGUGAUACACUUUCAAAGAGUCGGAUUGUUUGGGAAUGCAGUCCAAAAUGGGUGGUAAAUUUCAUCUAAAGCUAAAUAUUGGCGAGAGACCGAUAGCGAACAAGUACCGUGAGGGAAAGAUGAAAAGAACUUUGAAAAGAGAGUUAAACAGUACGUGAAAUUGUCAAAAGGGAAGCGUUUGACACCAGUGUUGUUUUCUCGAAAAUCAAUUAAGAAAUGAUCCUGGAUUUUGUGUUGUAUUGACUUUAUCAGCUUUCUGCACUCUUUUUCUUGUCUUUUUUAAUGCACUUUUCGUUUAACAAGUCAACAUCAAUUUCUUUUGUUGUAAAAGGGUCAUUGGAAGGUGGCUUUCACUUUCGGAUGAAAGUGUUUAUAGCCUUUGACUUCUGCAAUCGGAGAGAUUGAGGUCUGCAGCGUAGAUCCUUCGGGGUUAGAUACAUUUGUGCUAAGUUAUAGUUUUUCAUAGACAACAUGUUGACUAUGAUUAAUCAUGUAGCUUACUCGCUUAUGCUAUUUUACCUACGCUUAGGAUGUUGACGCGCGUGUGUGCGUG